UACGUAGGGACCAAGCGUUGUUCGGAUUUACUGGGCGUAAAGGGCGCGUAGGCGGCGUGGUAAGUCACUUGUGAAAUCUCCGAGCUUAACUCGGAACGGCCAAGUGAUACUGCUGUGCUAGAGUGCGGAAGGGGCAAUCGGAAUUCUUGGUGUAGCGGUGAAAUGCGUAGAUAUCAAGAGGAACACCUGAGGUGAAGACGGGUUGCUGGGCCGACACUGACGCUGAUGCGCGAAAGCCAGGGGAGCAAACGGG
rnacentral:rRNA from 1 species